rnacentral:ncRNA from 2 species
UGGCUCUUGUCGGAGCGCCUUCGGGCUGAGACUACUGAGUUUGCAAUAUGAUCACCCAAUAACAGGUGUUUUUUGUACAGCAAAGUGGAAUCCGUGGAACCUGAUUGGGUUAAUACCUGCGUAGGAAACAAGCAUAAAGAAAAU